UUUAUGCUGAAAAAAGCUGAUAUCUGUGUUCAUUAUUAUAUGAAUUCAAUGGUUUUAAUUAUUCUUAUAUAAGCAGUAAAAGAAGUACAUCUCUGACGUUUAUAACAAACCAAGCUGUUGUGAAAUCGGUUGAAAAUUGAGCAAUCUACAGUGAUUUUAAAAUCCAUGCUCCAUUGACUUUAAUGUUAUGAGUGAUCGAGCAGCCCUGUCCCAAGAUGGCCGCCAUGUGGCGACGUUGCUCCCCAUAGACUGACAGCGCUCAUGAGCCAUCUCGUGUUUUUAUAUAUCUAUGGAUCCAAGCACCGCUUCUACAGUGACAUCCACCGUUCAUUUGCACUGCAGGUUGUUGAGUAUAUGUGGAGUAUCCCGAGAGUCCUCACUGAAGACACGAAGACCCUCUUCAAAGAGUACUAAUUAAUAAUAAUUAGUUAUAAUAACAUUAUAAUACGCUACCCGGUGUGCAAAGUGUUGAAUCUGUUCUCUCCCUAUUUUACUUCAUCUACUUUUAGUGUCCAGGACACACAUGAAGAGGAUGUCUCCCCACACACAAGUCAUUUGAUUAUUUUUUUUAUUAUUUCAAAAAUAAUUGUAAAAAAUAACAUGUUGUUGUUUCUCCCAUUGUCAAUAAAACAUACUAUUUCAUUCAUCAAAGCAUAA